UACGUAGGGUGCGAGCGUUGUCCGGAAUUAUUGGGCGUAAAGCGCUCGCAGGUGGUUCGUCGCGGUCGUGCCGUGAAAGACCCCGGCUCAACUGGGGGGCGUCGUGCGAAACGGGCGGACUGGAGGCCAGUAGGGGGAUGCGGAAUUCCGGGUGUAGUGGUGGAAUGCGUAGAGAUCCGGAGGAACACCAGCGGCGAAGGCGGCAUCCUGGACUGGUCCUGACACUCAUGAGCGAAAGCGUGGGGAGCGAUCCGG
rnacentral:rRNA from 1 species